GUGCACUUUAUUGUGGCUCAGAACUUUUUCAUUUUUACCCCCAAGACUUGUUUGUGUGGCAUUUUUGCCAUUGCACUCAGGUAUACGUAACACAAGAGUGUUACAUUACCCCCUCCCUGAUUUUUUUUAUUAUUAUUAAACACAUGUGGAAUUAAGAAUGUAAUAUAUAUUUUUUUAGAAU
rnacentral:misc_RNA from 2 species